GUCGCUCAGUCGUGUCCAACUUUUAGCGACCCCAUGGACUGCAGCCUACCAGGCUCCUCCGUCCAUGGGAUUUUCCAGGCAAGAGUACUGGAGUGGGGUGCCAUUGCCUUCUCCGAUGAUUGGGCUAAAUCACAUGAAAUUGCGGAUAUUUUCCUGUUUUACUUACAGUAACAUUGAUUUCAGAUGGCUCAACAUAAUACUUCCCAGGUGAGGAGAGACAGGAAAACACAGGUUGUAGAGAGGAAACAAGGCAGAAGUCCAGCGUCUGUCAGUAGCUGGCAAACAUGCACUUAGUUUCACCUUUUGUCAACGUGUUGAUAGAAAUAUCCUUGGGAUGGCUUUUUUUUUUUUUUACUUUCUCCAAAAGAGACUGAUACUGUGAGGUUUGUCUAUUGUCCAAAGACUUGAACUUUAGAAUCAGACUGAAAUAAUGAGUUGCUGGAAAGCAGUGUUGCAUCCCCAAGUCUGAAAGAUUUUAGUUUAAAUCCUGGCUCUACAACUUGUGAGCUAUGCUGCCAGUUUCAUAACUUUCUGACUCAUACUUUUCUCACCUGAAAAAUGGUGAUAAUAAUAGUAUAGUAGUAACAGUAUAGUAUUGUAGUAAAAGUAAUAGUAUUUCCCAUAACAUCUUAUAGAAAAAUCCAAACGAACUUUUUGGCCAACCCAAUACUUCCCUUCUAGGACUUCCCAGGUUAUCCAGUGGCUAAGACUCCUCAGUCCCAAUGCUGGCAACCCAGGUUUGAUCCCUGGUCAGGGAACUAGAUCCCACAUGCCACAACUAAGACCUACUACAGCCAAAUAAAUAAAUUGAAAAAAAAAAAAAGACUUCCCUUCCUCGUAAGAUCAUGGAAUUGAAUACAUGAGUUGGUGCCUGCAUGGCUUAGCAUAAUAGCUAGCCCUCAGAAAGUGCCCAGCAGCUGUUUGACUGUAACCUAUGUCAAGAGGCACCGAGAAGGACACUGUGUCCACAAAUCAUAAAGGGAAUUCCAUCCUCAGUCCCUUGGCUUGUUUCAGUGGAGACAGCAAGACGGAGACCUAUUUUAGUGCCCACUUUAGUCACAGGAGAAGAGGGAAGGAAGACACAAGGAAACAUAGAAUACUUCAGUUUCUCAGGCCGAAAUAACAAGGGCUUGAUGCGAUCCUAUAAAGCCAUUCAGUUGCUUUCAGCCCUCAAGCAAACCUGCUAAGGAAUUUCAUGUUCCCAGGUCUCCCCUGGCAGGCACCCCUGGCACAGAGAUGGGUUGUUUUGAGCAACGGGGUUUCUGCAAGCUACCAAGUCAACCCCCCGGGAGCAGUUCCCAGGAGAGAGCAGUGAUGUCAGAACAGCAGGCUGGCUUGGGCACCAGCGGUGCAGGAAAAACAGAUGCUGGGCUUUCCAGGGAAGUAAUUCUUGGCCACUCAGGGAAAUAUAAAACCAGAGAGGUGAGGCCGUGAAGGACACAUCCUGACCAGAAAGCGCAGGGUCGGGACAGGCUCCUGGGUAGGGCUUCUGGCCCAGCGGGGUGUGAGCUGACUUACCUGGGUUGGUUCCCUGCAUUCUAAUGUUGGUUUCACUGCAUUCUAAGCCAUCUCCUGCUGGGCAUGGGGACAAGGUCCCAUCAGCACCAGAAGACUGGCUUGUGUAUUUUAUAAUCAUCAUCAAUAAGAAUUUUAAAAUGAAAUUUAGGGUUCUAAAGUAAAGAGUGUUUAUGAUGGGGCACUGCUUUGAGAGUAAGAAACUGGAGUGUCAGGGAACAUUCUCUGCCAGCCCACCUGACCCUCCUGCCUGCCCUUCGCCCACAUCACUGCUGUCCUCGGUGACCCAGCCUCAUCCAGGGGCCAGCAGCCCGGUUUCCUGUUCCUGCAGGUUCCUGAGGCCGGGCUCAGCAGGCAUCUUCCCAUUUUUCUGUCGAUCUUUUACCACCCUUUCCCGCCUUCCUCCCCCGCCAAAAAAUGGAUGGAGCUGGGGGCAGGAGUGGCUUGUGAACACCCUGAGACAAGGGUCCUCUUCAGGGACUAGAGACCCCUGUAAAAACCCUGAGGGCGGCACUUCUCUCUGCAGCCCUAAACAGUUUCCUCGCGGUUUGAAAUUUUCAUUCAAGUCACCAUUUCCAGUCCUGCUGACAAGUCUUUGGGGUCGGAAAAUGGCUCCAGCUGGGAGCAGCAGCUGGGGGAGCAGACGGCCAGGCCUGGCCUGGGCGUUGACUGCUGGGAGCCUUCCCAGAGGCCAGGCCACCAUUUCAUGCUGAGAGAUCGGUUCCUCCCGCCCCCACUGAGAGAGACCACAGGCCAGCGCCCUCCUGCCACGCAGAAAGAAGCUCCAGGCCUCCGCGCUCAGGAGGGCGGCUUCUUGAUCAUUCUCUGCACCGUCAGCAGGCCCUGCUCGAGCUGCCCUUCACCUCACCCCAUCCAGGGAGCUCCGGAGAAUUUCCCCUCCAGUUUCAAAGACAGCAUCUCCCUCCUCUCGGCCCCACCGUGACUCAGCAGCUGCAGAGAGGAGUCUUUUCCCCAGGAAAUGACGCUGGACUUGAAUCUUGAAAAUUGAAGCCAGGGACUUCUUGGAGGUCCAUUGGUUAGGAAUCCGCCUGCCAAUGCAGGGGACAUAGGUUCUGUCCCUCAUCUGGGAGGAUUCCACAGCCCUCAGGGCAACUAAGUGCUUGCACCACGACUGCUGAAGCCCGUGUGCCCUAGAGCCCGUGCUCUGCAGCAAGGGAAGCCCCACAAUGAGAAGAGAAGCCCGAGCACUGCCACUAGAGAGUAGCCCCCACCUGCCUAAACUAGAGGAAGCCUGCACAGCAAUGAAGACCCAGGGCAGCCGAAGGUAAAAUAAAUAAAUAAAAAUUCAUUCAUUUAGCACAUUGGAUUUUCACAAACAUUUAACACUGAUUGCACACUUAAAGUGAUACCUCCAGGCAUUUAAUUAAAUUCACAAAUUUAACAUAGCAAAUGCUCUUUAAAGCUCUCAAUGUAUUAAAUACACAAAAUAUUACAAUCCCAAAGCUGUUUAAUACCCUUACAUCAAAACCUGUUAUAAAAGUACUAAUAUUGUGGAUUUCACUUUGUUUCUUCUCCUGAAUUCUGCACCUUCCUGGGGUGCCAGUUUUGACACUUUCCUAGGAUUUCAGUGAUUUUUACCAAGUACUAUUUUUAGCUUUCUAAGGAUUUUAACAAUUUAACCAGACCACAAGAAAAAGAAAAAGCACCACCUCAAACUGCUGGAGUUGCAAAAUCUGGGUGGUUGAACAAUUCAUUCUAAGUCAGGAUGUCAGGCUAGGGGUUGCAAAGGAGACGAAAUCAGGUCAGGAAGCUUCCUUUUCAUAACUGUUCUUUGUUUCUUCAGUAAGACUUCUUAAGUCCACACCUUUUGGGAAGGUUUUCUUUUUGACGGCAUUGAAUUUUCCCCCUCGAAUGAGAUGAAUUCUCAUCUUGCUUGGCCAGCAUUGACCUAGCCCAUUGUCCUGUCAUCAUGAUGAAUUGACCUGAUCUGUUAGCAUUAUUAAAAAUGCACAUCUUCUUGCUGGUGUUGUGUUAUAAUUUAUAAAGACCAUCUCCAAGUUUCAUUCCCUAAGGGAGCAGGCACUGGGUCUGUAGUGUUGGCUCCUCUCUAGGACCCCAUGGAACAUGGGGUAACCACCUUCACUCAGUUGUCUGUAUCACCCCAAAGUGGGGAAACUGCAGCCUGGACAGUGCCUACUUUUUCUUAUACAAGUUGGCUAACUCAGUGUUCCCUGCAUUUAUUCUUUCCUGCUUUCACAGAUAGAAACAAAAAUAUAUCUAUCCUUGGUAAACAGAUAUAUAAUUAAUAGAAGAAAGAAAAGACCUGUUUACAUGAAAUGCCCCACUUACUAAAGUCAAUACAAAGCAACAUAUGCCAUUACAGUCACUGCCCUUUUGUUCUCAAACCACUACUCCAUAUGCUUAGAGAGUUUUGAGAAUUAUCUUGAACCCAUUCUUUCUCUGGCUUGACUUGUUUUAAUUAAUGCCCUAAUGACCAAAGCUUGGCCCAGAAGCCCCUUCGUUUGGCUCCUUUGUCUUUACAGCACUGCCCUUGACAUUCUUGAAAGCAUUCUUGAUUUCUGGCAACAACAAGACGUUCCAGACCCAUCCUAAUUUUUUUCCAGCCUUGAUACCUGGAAUCAACUGCGUCUGUGGAAUCCUCAUUCCUGUUCUGGAGUCUCUGGAGGAACCACAGAAGUGAGGAAUAGAGGCGGCUUUACAGAGAAAGACCUUCUCCCAUUGUCUAAGCAUCCAUUGUGGUGGUGCUUGGAGCAUCAUGUGGCCUGAGCAUCACCUGCCCCGAAGAGUCUGCCUUGGCUGAGACAAGACACUACAGCUUCUUUCCUGACUCUCUGCAGGACUGUGCUCAUCUGAGAAUGUUGUUUGAGUUGAGACAGCACUAGGCAGCCUGUUCUCACUCAGGCUCUGGGCACAGCAACUUGAAUCUCAGCUGUUUGCCUAAUCAAGUGUUAGGUUAUAUUUUCCCCUCUCCUGAUUAUAGGAAAUUGCCACAUGUAAUCAACACUCUUACCCUCAUCACUGUUCUCUACUCUGAGCUGAGAAAGUCAGACCUGGAGAAGGAUCACUCCCCAGGCUAACAGCUAGUCCAGGGGCCCUGUCUCCAGCCUCAUUUCUCACCUUUCCCCAACACAAACCCAAUCAAGUGAGUUCUGUCUCCUCACUGGCCCCCUACUCACUCCACACAUUCCCUUCUCAUGCCCAUCUUCCUGCCUGAGUUUCCACCAUCUCCUUGAGCAAGUUAACUUUCCCCCUUUCUUUACCAACUGGGUUCUCACCCACCAUUUGGAGCUGAACUUGGCCCCCAUUGCAUCCAGCCCACUCUGAUGGGGACCUCCUCACUUCUUCAGACCAAAGUAGAGUACAGUCCAGACCCGUCCUUCCUACAGCUUCUUACACAGUUGGAGGUACAACAUCAACUUUAAAAAUGACAACUAUGGGAAUUCCCUGGUGGUCCAGCGGUUAGGAUUCAGGCCUUUACUGCCAGGGACCCAGGUUCAGUUCCUCAUUAGACAACUAAGAUCCCACAAGCCAUGCUGUGCAGCCAAAAGAAAUAGAUAAAUAAAAUAAAAUGACUACUACAGUUGGGAGGAGUAAGAAAUUCCUCUCGGGUGUUUAGAGGAAAACCCCAAGUACACUUAGCCCUUUGCUUUCUUUUUUUUUUUUUAAGAAAGCUUUUUUAAAAAUAUUAUUUUUAAAAAUUUAUUUCUCUGUGCCAGGUCUUAGUUGCAGCCUGCAGGAUCUUUCAUUGCAGCAUGUGGUGUCUAGCUCCCCAAACUUUUCACAAACAUAGGCAAGGGAGAGGGCCGAGUUUUCAGAGCCAGAGACAGUGCAGAAGUCUCAAGAUGCCUGAGACCUAGGGAAGAUGGCUUCCCUGGUGGCUCAUUUGGUAAAGCAUUCACCUGCAAUGCUGGAGACUAGGGUUUGAUCCCCAGGUUGAGAAGAUCUCACGGAGAAGGAAAUGGUCACCCACUCCAGUAUUCUUGUCUGGGAAAUCCCAUGGACAGAGGAGCCCGGUAGGCUACAGUCUACAGGGCCGCACAGAGCCGACAUGAUUUAGUAACUAAACCACCACUACUGUGACCUAAUGGCCUCUAUGAUGGUGAAUGGGAAGCCAGCUUUGUGAGCUGGGCUGGUGCAGACAAAACUGAGACAAAAGUUGACCUUCCUCCAGUUUCUCUGCCCCCCAUUCCACCCAGCCCUUCAUAUCCCACUGCCACACAACAACACUGGCCUCUGCCCUUCCGAAAGAAAUGUAUGGACAACGAUGUCCAUCAUGCGAUUAUUUAUAAAAAUGAACAUUAAUCUUCAACUACUGGGGAACAAUUUAACCAUGCCUCAGAAAUGUGAUAGAAGACUCUACCGAUGUUAGAAUGGAUCGGCAUGAAGAUGAGAGCACGGAAAGAUGUCUGUAGGCUACUUCUAAGCAAAAUAAGCAGAACACAAAAUUGUAAACUCUGUGAUUAGAACUAAGUAAAAAAAAAAUGUGUAUUUCUCUGGCUGAAGGUUAAAAAGAUCCAUAGACCAACGGUGUAAAAGGAGUAGGAUUGUGCCUUGGACUGUUGUCUCUUUAAAUUCCUUCAAUGUUACUGUAAUGUGUUAAUAAUAAAAAUGUCAUAUAAAGUGAAAGUGCCAGUCCACUGUCCCAUUCCAAGUAAGUUCAUGACAGGCUGAUCCUGGCCUGUGUUUCCCUUCCCCUAGUUACGAAUUUGGAUCAGAAAGAAGCCUCUUGGGAAGGAGAGGAGCCUCCUGAAUUGAAGACGACACUGGGAGGUGAGGUCUUGGAUGGGGCAGAAUGCAGCAAGGUCUCUGCUGCCCUAGCACCUGGUAUGUCUCCUCACAGGGCUGGAGAAUUUCAGGGCUCUGCUGGCCAUAGAGACCACUGCACUUUUCUGGGCUCCUCCCAUGGGCGGGGUACCCUGGGGUCAAGACCUCCAUAGCCACCAUGGAGGCUACAGACAGACCAGGCUAAAUCCAGGCUAUGUUUCAGGCUACAAAGGCAGGAAGAGAGUCCCUGCAGUCCCAGAAGCUGAGGAGGAUUUUGACAGAUGAAGAAGAGCUUAGAUUUGGCUGAAGUGAAAUAGAUGAGGCCUGUGCUGGGAGGCAGGUGCUCCAGGAGAGAAAGCACGGAGUCUGCAGACUGAGUUUAAAUCCCAGCGCCAUCAUUCACUACCCAGCUGGAGGGGAACCCAGGGCAGUCUGUCUCCAAACCCAUGAUGCUCCCACAGAACCACUUGAUGAGGACAGAAAGAGUCUGUGAAUCGGGGCAAAAGGCAUAGAAAUGCCAGGCGGUUUCCAGAAGAGUGCAAGGUGAGAGCAGCCCUGAUAAUAACCCCUCUGGGUAGGGUUCUUUCUUCUAGAUUUUUACCCCACACUUGUUUGUGUUUUAUCACCACCCUCUGUGUCAGUCUGAGCAUUACAAAAUCUGUUUCCACUGAGUUGGGCACUCUCUCCAAAGCAUUUUGCCCUCAGGUCUGACAGAGUUCAGGGAGAGGAGUGGUGGCCCCACACAAGCUCUCUGAUCAAAGUCGAGGGUGAUCGUGCAAUGUUUUGACCAGCUGUGCCAACUCAGUGCCUAAACUGUGAAAUGAAUGCCAGAGGGAGUCUCCAUGAGUGCCAGCUGCCCUGUAUGAUAGGAAGGGCAUUGGAUUAGGACUCGGGACCCUCGAGCAGGGUUCAUAGCCUGGCCCCACCCCCACUGUUUAUUACAUGUCCUCGGGCAGGUACUUUGCCCUUUCUGAUUCUGAUGAGCUAAAUGAGGGCUUUGGGCUUCAUCAGAGGGUCUCAGUCCCCUGCACAUUACUACCACCUGGAGACCUAUCAAACCCAACCAGGCCAGGGACUUCCCUGGCGGCCCAGUGGCUAAGGCUUCCCACUUCCACCGUGCCUCCCUGGCUCUGACGGUAAAGAAUCCGCCUGCCAAAGCAGGAGGCCCAGUUUUGAUCCCUGGGUCAGGAAGAGCCUCUGGAGGAGGAAAUGGCAACCCACUCCAGUA